CCGCAGAGCCCCGCGGAGGCGGCCCCGCCCAUGGCGCAGCGCGCGGUGCCCCCUGGCGCCACUCGGGUGCGGUGUGGGAUAGCUGGGGAGGCAGCGGGCGGUUGGGCAAGAGGAGAAGCCACUCCACGUGCAGCUGCUGUAGUCACUUGCCUUGAUAGUAUGGAGAAAGCUCCCUCAUUUCCUCUGCCAGUCAUUCCAGGUGACAUAAUACCCAGCAAAGGAAGAGGAUUUGGUGUCCAGCUCUACUAAGAAGCCACAGGAGAACAGAAGCUCUGCUUUUGUAAGUUGGACGUUUUAGACUUUCCUGAAAACUGGCUUUGAAGAGUAG
rnacentral:lncRNA from 1 species